AUACUUACCUGGGUCGUGUAUUCGGAAUCAAGAAUCCCGAAUAUACAGUGAAAGUGGUUGUCAUUGCACAGCGACCGCUGUUUUUGCUGCGAACGCUCUUCGGGGCGUCUCGAGAUCAUAAUUUUUGUUUUGGGGGUAUUGGUGGUUCGCCGCCGAGGCCCCU
rnacentral:snRNA from 1 species